CAUCGUGUUACAGAAAUCAUGUUUUUAAUAAACCAAAAUAUUCAGAUAAUGUCAGAAUGUAAUAACAGUGGUAUUCUCUGAUCUGUCCAUAAUCUGUGAGGCUUUGGCAGUGAACGAACAAAACAAUGCAGUGUGAGAACAAUUACUGAAGACUUUCUCCGUGAAACAGACUUUAAGUAACUUUAACAACUUGCAUGCACUAAAAGAGUAAUAUCUCAGAAUGGAUCUGGUUCUCUUCCUAUUUCUUCAUGUAUUUCUGUGUAGAGUUUGUCUCCUCCCUCAUCUCUUCUUGAAGUGUGAAGCGCAGGAAGUGUCUGGUUUAGUUAAACCAGUCUGUUAAUGUGUCAGUAUGGGGUCCAGUGCACUGUCUCUCACACUCUUGCUGAUGUCCUUCAUCCACUCUGGACUCACUCAAGCUUUACCCAGAUCUACACUGACUGUGACACCAGACACAGUAUUCACUGGAGAGAGAGUGAGUCUGAAGUGUGAGAUUGAGUCUCACAGAGACUGGAGAUAUGAGUGGUGGAAAGGACACACAUACAUUCAAGUGUCACAGACGUCUGAGCUCACUAUUGAACGAGCUAAAACAUCUGAUGCGGGUCUGUACUGGUGUAGAGGACAGAGAGAUGGAGGAUCAGUCUCAUCACAAUCAAACUCUGUUUAUCUCUCAGUGAAGGAUUUACCAACAUCUAAACUGACUGUGACUCCAAACAGUGUAUUCACUGGAGAGAGAGUGAUUCUGACGUGUGAGAUAACACCUCAUUACAGUGUCUGGAGAUAUGAGUGGAAUAAAGACAACACUGAAGUUUCUGAGAGUUACACAAACACUCUCACUAUUGAACAAUCUAAAACAUCUGAUGCGGGUCGGUACACGUGUAAAGCACACAUAGAUGGAAGAUCAGUCUCAUCACAAUCAAGCUCUGCUGUUUAUCUCUCAGUGGAGGCUUUACCCAGAUCUACACUGACUGUGACUCCAGACAGUCCUGUAUUCACUGGAGAGAGAGUGAUUCUGACGUGUGAGAUAACAUCUUAUUACAGUGACUGGAGAUAUGAGUGGUAUAAAGGCAGUGUAAUGUUACAGACGUCUGAGCGUUACACUGUAAACACUGACACUCUCACUAUCAGAGGAGCUACUGAGUCUGAUGCGGGUCAGUUCUGGUGUAGAGGAGAGAGAGAUAAAAGACCAAAAUCAUCACAAUCAAGCUCUGUUUCUCUCACUGUUAAGGAUUUACCCAGAUCUACACUGACUGUGACACCAGACAGUCCUGUAUUCACUGGAGAGACAGUCAAUCUGACGUGUGUAAUAAACUCUGAUCACAGUGACUGGAAAUAUGAGUGGUAUAAAGGUACAAACAACAGUGUAAAGUUACAGACGUCUGAGCGUUACACCAUAGACAGAGACACACUCACUAUCAGAGGAGUGAAUGAGUCUGAUCAGGAUCAGUUCUGGUGUAGAGGACAGAGAGAUGGAAGACCAAACUCAUCACAGGAGAGUGAACGAAUAAAUCUGUCUGUUAAUGUCUCAGCAGCUUCAUCUUCUCUUCUGGUCACUGGUGUGGUUGUGGGAUUGAGUGUUUGUCUGUUGUUCUUUCCUCUCACUGCUGCUGAUGUGGAGAUACAAGAAGAACAAAGGUGUGGAGCAGUUCAGAACAUGAUUAACACAACUGAACAGCAACAAUAAAGUUUCUGAGUAAAGGCUCAUGAGAAGAUUUAAUAUCAGACUGAAGAGUCACUGCAGAUACUCUUGAGUGAUCAUAAUGCUCUUUGUUUCUGUUUCUGGUCACUGGUGUGGUUGUGGGAUUGAGUGUUUGUCUGUUGUUCUUCCUCUCACUGCUGCUGAUGUGGAGAUACAAGAAGAACAAAGAUCAGCAGCGUCACAUUAACCAGACAUCAGUCCCAAAUCAAUCUGCACAAUCUCAACCGGAAAACUUUCCUCUACAGUCUGAUUCUGAUCACAUUUAUGACGACGUGACUGAAGUCAAUAUGAGAGACAAAGAUGAUCCAGAGACCUUGGCAGAUGUCACAUAUUCGGAGGUCACUGUUAAGAAAAAGAUGGACAGAGGUAAUGCUAAGGCAGAGUCAAAUAAUGUGACAUACUCAGAAGUCGGAAAAAGAGGAAAGAAAUGCAAAAGUAAAGAUAUUAAUCCUGCAGGAUCCAGUGAUUUGACUUACGCACAGAUCAAUAUACAGGACAAGAAGAAAACCAAAGGCAAAGGGAAGAGCAGUGAGUCUGGAGACACUUUGUACUCUGAACUGAAGCAGAACACAGAUAGAGAUGCUGAUGCUGGAGUUGGUGAUGCAACUCAUGUUCUAGCUUUUUGGAAAAAGGGUCACAAGAAGAUUAAAACAGGUCCCUGAGUGCAGAGAAGACACCAGACGGCUAAAAGAGGUUCACAGCAGCAGACACAGUAACGCUUGCAUUGCUUAAGAAAUGAAUCUGAGUGAACUGCUUAUGCACAUACUUGACUGAAAUACUUUAGAGAUAGGCACUGUAUUAUCUAUACACAUUAUGUAGGCAAACAGAUCUAUCUAUAAUAUGUAUUAAAAAUAAUUUUAUUUGUGCACUUUUGUUUAACAGCUUUAAGUGAAACUGCCCUUCAAGUUAUUACAUUAUUACAUGAUUCGACUGGAGCUGUACAGCAGUUAAACAGUAAUUGGUCACUUGUCUGAUAGUUAAAUAUAACAUGUUCUUUGUCUUAUAAAAUAAUGCCUGUGUUUUUGCCAAGACUGUGAGGCUAACAUGAUUGUUCUUACAUACACAGUAUAUUCAUAAAUACUGCUUUUUUACAUUAGUAUAUUUUCCUCCAUUUCAUAUAUGCUUUUUUUUUUUUUUUUUUUUGUCUACAGUUAUUAAUGAAGCUGUAGAUUUAUAUUUGCUAAAUAAACACAAAAGAACAGACA
rnacentral:lncRNA from 1 species